GCGAAUGGAAGGAGGUAUGUCCUGUUGGCUCUCUGUGUCACACAUGAUAUUGUUUUCACGGUUGUGAGGUAGGUUGGUGUUGGUCCUGUGUGGACCCAGAGAAGGACAGGUCUCGGUGGGGCAAGGAGAGGACUGGACGUGGGCUGGGCUUGGAGGUAGGGUGGAUGGUGGGGCAAGGAGAGGACUGGACGUGGGCUGGGUCUGGAGGUAGGGUGGAUGGUGGAUGGUAUGAUGGAUGAAAAGUAAUGCCUUGGAUCUCCAGCAACACAACGCUGUCUGUCCUAAGGGCUUGUGAAGCUUUCAAACCUAUGAUCUAUUAGUAACAUAAAGCCUUUUAUAAUCAUGAUGUUGACAGCGUUUAGGGGCCUCGAUCUCUCUACUUCUGAGUCUUUUCAAUAGUGUGAUUGAAAACAAAAAUGUACAUUAUUAUUCUAUUUAAAAAAAAAAAAAAGAAAAGAAAAAAGACAAGUGUUCUGUAUGGACCUGUAUUUACCCAUCAGUUUCUGAUGUUCAAACACUGUGAUUAUUAUAAAUGUUGUUGGACAACAUGAGUUUAAGAAGAAAAAAGCUAGAAAAAUACAAAGUAAAAGACAGUUGGAGGAAACAUUAUGGUGGAUUGGUAAUACUUAGGCUGAACAAAAAUACAAAGUAAAAGACAGUUGGAGGAAACAUUAUGGUGGAUUGGUAAUACUUAGGCUGAACAAAAAUACAAAGUAAAAGACAGCUAUUUUCCUUAUCCAGUACUUAUCGAGGUCACUUUAACCUUUCUUCUCUUUGUACUUUCUUUAUAUUAGAUAAAUGUGAAUGUUAAAUGGACUCAAUUAACGUACUUGAAUAGUAACUUGGGGUUGAGUGCCAAAUAACACCCUAUCCCCUACAUGGUGUUCAACCUUUCACCAGGAGCCGAUAAGACCUCGAUCAGGGCCCAUGGGGCUCUGGUCAAAAGUAGUGCACUAUAUAGGGGAUAUGGUGCAAUGUAGGACUCACCCUUGGUCUUUUCCGUCUCCUUUCGCCCCCCCCAGUACUCCAGUGAGAGCUCUGCUAGAGUUUCUAGUGCCUUCCAUUAUUUAUUUUGCUUCUUUUUUUUAACCGUUUUUUGACAUGAUGGAGUAACGGAAGUGCUGUUGAUUUCUGCUACAUUGAAGUGCUUUACUGGCUCUGUGGGUACAAAAGGCAAAGGUACACUGG
ensembl:lncRNA